UUGCGGUGAUGACCUUCUUAGGACACCUUUGGAUUAAAGAUGAAACAAAAAACAUUUUAAUCUGAGCAAC